UGAUGACGAGACGCUAAGGCGUUGAAGCAGUGUAUGUCAGACUUCCAAGAAAAGCUCGCAAUGUCACGAAUAAAAAAUGCCUGUACCAUAACCGACACAGGUGGGUAGGUAGAGUAUACUAAGGGGCGCGAGAUAACUCUCUCUAAGGAACUCGGCAAAAUGACUCCGUAACUUCGGGAGAAGGAGUGCCUUAUUUAUAAGGUUGCAAUAACAAGAUCCAAGCAACUGUUUAUCAAAAACACAGGUCUCCGCUAAGUCGUAAGACGAUGUAUGGGGGCUGACGCCUGCCCAGUGCCAGAAGGUUAAAGAAGUUGGUUAGUGUAUGCGAAGCUGAUGACUGAAGCCCUGGUGAACGGCGGCCGUAACAAUAACGGUCCUAAGGUAGCGAAAUUCCUUGUCGGGUAAGUUCCGACCCGCACGAAAGGCGUAAUGAUUUGGAUACUGUCUCGGAGAGAGGCUCGGUGAAAUAGACUUGUCUGUGAAGAUGCGGACUACCUGCACCAGGACAGAAAGACCCUAUGAAGCUUUACUGUAACUUGAAAUUGGAAUUGGACUUUGCUUGCGCAGUAUAGGUGGGAAGCGUUGAAAAUAUUCUUGCGGGAGUAUUGGAGCUAUCAGUGAGAUACCACUCUUGUAAUGUUAGAUUUCUAACUUUGAACCAUAAUCUGGUCAAAGAACAGUUUCAGGUGGGCAGUUUGACUGGGGCGGUCGCCUCCCAAAUGGUAACGGAGGCGUACAAAGGUUUCCUCUGAACGGAUAGAAAUCGUAUCUAGAGUGUAAAGGCAUAAGGAAGCUUGACUGUGAGACCUACAAGUCGAGCAGGGACGAAAGUCGGUCUUAGUGAUCUGACGGUACUGAGUGGAAAGGCCGUCACUCAACGGAUAAAAGUUACUCUAAGGAUAACAGGCUGAUCUCCCCCAAGAGUUCACAUCGACGGGGAGGUUUGGCACCUCGAUGUCGGCUCAUCGCAUCCUGGGGCGGUAGUACGUCCCAAGGGUUGGGCUGUUCGCCCAUGAAAGCGGUACGCGAGCUGGGUUCAGAACGUCGUGAGACAGUUCGGUCCAUAUCCGGUGUAGGCGCUAGAAUAUUGAGAGGAGCCUUCUUUAGUACGAGAGGACCGAGAAGGACACACCGCUGGUGUACCAGUUAUCGUGCCAACGGUAAACGCUGGGUAGCUAUGUGUGGAGUGGAUAACCGCUGAAAGCAUCUAAGUGGGAAGCCCACCUCGAGAUGAGUAUUCUCAU
rnacentral:rRNA from 1 species